ACCAAGAUUAUUAUGAAGAGGGGUAGAAGCGAGAACAAUAUCUGUGUGAUAACACGUUGUGACCUGGACUGUCAGACAACCCCCCUUGUGUACCAGCCUGGAUUGCCUGAGGACCCGAGUGUGAGGAUUUCCCCAGGAAAAUGGACCGGACAAUGAGAACGGCUUGUGAACUGUUAGGCUGCUGAUGAGCUGGUUGUUGACCGGCUGGUCCUGGGGCUGGCUGCUGAUGGGCUGGCUUAGGGUCGAUCUCAUCCUCAACUUCCAACUCACUGUCAGACUCCGAAUUGACAGAGACAUGAUCCUCAUAAUAAUAUUAAGAAAAUUCUUAAUCUUCCAAAGUGGAAGACGAUCCUCCCACACCAGCUUCUCUCUCUACAAAAAAUGUUUUCUAUGGCCCUCUGAGCAGUGAUAAUUUUUGCCAUACUGAUUGUUUGUUGUAAAGAGCCACACAUGCAAAGCUGUUUAUUUGUUGUGUUCUUCCCCCAAUUUGCACCAGGCUGGGGUAGAGUAUGGGAAAAUACUGUAUUUUUUUAAAACAAUGUAUCGAAAUAUUGUAUUGGAAUAACGUGGUACAGGUUCCCGCAAGACAUUGUGUAGUUUUACAUACUACAAAGAGUAAAGACUGUGAGAAAAGUGGCAGACAGGCAGGAUCUUGGUACUAUGUUGAAACAUCAGGCCAAGGGAGGAGGAAAACCUGUUUGUUUCAUUUUAUACUUGUUUUCACCUAUACACACUCUUUUCCACACUUGUAUUACCCUCGGGUCCAGUGGGCCUGAACACCACAUAUGUAAUAUCAAUGUGAAGGGGGUGCACGCAAUGAAAAUGUGUUAUUUGACAUGUUCUUCACAUAAAAUGAGCCAAGGCCAAUGAGUCUCAGGUUGAAAAAAUAAUUCAUUGGAUCAUUUUUCUUUUUG